rnacentral:tRNA from 1 species
GCCUGGAUGGCUCAGUUGGUUAAGCAUCUGACUUUGGCUCAGGUCAGGAUCUCAUGGUUUGUGAGUUCGAACCCCACAUUAGGCU